rnacentral:rRNA from 1 species
GAGCGGCGGACGGGUGAGUAACACGUGGGCAACCUCGUUUGAAGCGGGGGAUAACAUUUGGAAACAGGUGCUAAUACCGCAUAACAACGAAAACCACAUGGUUUUCGUUUCAAAGAUGGUUUCGGCUAUCACUUCAGGAUGGGCCCGCGGUGCAUUAGCUUGUUGGUAGGGUAACGGCCUACCAAGGCAAUGAUGCAUAGCCGAGUUGAGAGACUGAUCGGCCACAAUGGAACUGAGACACGGUCCAUACUCCUACGGGAGGCAGCAGUAGGGAAUCUUCCACAAUGGGCGCAAGCCUGAUGGAGCGACACCGCGUGAGCGAAGAGGGGUUUCGGCUCGUAAAGCUCUGUUGUUGAAGAAGAACGUGCGUGAGAGUAACUGUUCACGCAGUGACGGUAUUCAACCAGAAAGUCACGGCUAACUACGUGCCAGCAGCCGCGGUAAUACGUAGGUGGCAAGCGUUAUCCGGAUUUAUUGGGCGUAAAGCGAGCGCAGGCGGUUGCUUAAGUCUGAUGUGAAAGCCUUCGGCUUAACCGAAGAAGUGCAUCGGAAACUGAGCGACUUGAGUGCAGAAGAGGACAGUGGAACUCCAUGUGUAGCGGUGGAAUGCGUAGAUAUAUGGAAGAACACCAGUGGCGAAGGCGGCUGUCUGGUCUGCAACUGACGCUGAGGCUCGAAAGCAUGGGUAGCGAACAGGAUUAGAUACCCUGGUAGUCCAUGCCGUAAACGAUGAGUGC